AAAUUCAUCAAUAAUUUAUAAUAGAAAACAUUAUAUGUACAUCCUUUCAUACUAAAAAAAUAUAUACUACACAAAAGUGUAAGAUAAACUUUUAGAAACAAAAGGAAAAGUUGGGACGUUAUACUCUGAGUUUUAGCUCCGUUACCAACUAGCACCUGCUCUCCGGAGACAUCACCUAAACUCACACCAUUGAGGUGAUCAUUGCAAAAGAGAGAUAUACCCAAAGACAAACAAUACAAAAGCAAGGUAAACUAAAGUAUCAAAAUAUUAUAAAUACAUUUUAAAAAUAAUAACAAUAUACAUGCAUAUUAUAAAUCAAGCAACACAUAAACUCAUCCCUUCCACUUUGAAACUUUUACUACCCGAAUAGAUGCACUGAUGUCGGACUCAUGGGGAACUUGCACUCGUGUAUGGUGGAGCAACUUGCUCAGAAAAUAAUAACCCCAACGUCAACCACCACCAAUAAUGUCAUACAUCAAGGUUAAUCCGUCAAACAUCUAUAGCCAAAAUUAGUGCCAUAGACUAGGACCUCCUGCUACUCUCCACGACAUAAUCACCCAUCUUUAUUUAAGAUUAGGUUAUUGAGAGUGUCAGGAUCAUUCCCCAAUUCUGGAGUCCCUACUUCAAUACAUAACACAACAUAACCAACUUAAGAUAUUCCUUCUUAGAAUUCUUUUCUCUUAUCAUACUUAAUUACAUACAUAGUCUCAUGUAAACAUCAUCAUGUAUUCCAAUCAAUAUUUUCCACAUCUACAUAUAUUCCACAAAACAUUGUAAGAAAUCACAUGAAACCAUUCCAUAUACAUCAAUAUACAAGAAAUAGUCAAAGACAAACCAUUAAAGAACACAAAACCCAUUUGAACUCAUACUUACAGAAGUAGCGCUCAGCCCCAAAAACUAGAACUCAACACUACAACCACUGAAAUCCUGACGCUCAACCCUAGGAUACUGGCGCUUAGCCCCAACGACAUUGGAAAGUGGCGCUGAAACGCCAUGACACAAGCUUUCAACGCCAUCCGAUAACUUGAAACUCUAUUUCUAUGACCUUGGGCACUUCUUACACCACUUGAAUUAAUCCCUAGGACCUUCUUGGCACUGGGAAACCUCAAAAAACACCACUCUAACCCAAAAUGAUAACUUCAAACCAAAUCAACUUCCCUAAACUACCCAAACUCAUUUAUACUCUUUCUAAAACCCAUUUCAAUGAACCAAAGGUAUAAACAAGUCAUAAAUAACUCUAUGACAGACCCUCAACCAUCACAUUCAAUACAAACCUACCCUUUUAGAGAUCCACUACUCAAAACCCCCUUAAUUGUACUCAAAAUCAUGCAAUACAACCUCACUGACUCUCUACUACAUUACACACCAGAUUUUACUGGUUUAACCGCUCUCACAAGUUCUAAAUGUCUUCAAAACAAUCCCCAAACUUCUGUUUUACACAUCCCACCCUUUACUAAAAAACUCACCUAUCAAGACCUCCAAUUUUACACUAAAAACACUUCAAACUUCAACAAUGAACUACCUCUGUCUUUCAUAUUAGAUUUCUCAAAUUUCAAAAUCUCAACCAGUCUAAAAUGAGCUUAGAACAACAAUAGAACUCAGUUUUACUCAUACAACAUGUACUUCAAAUUUUCACCUAUCAACACUCUAUUUUAUAACUAGAAAUGACUUAUAGAUUAGCACCACCGUUUCUCCUCAAUACUAUAACAGAUUUGACAUUAUUAAAUAUCUCAACAACAACAUUCCAAACCAAAUUCAGUUCUAAAUUAAACAAACAAAUCAUACAAACAUCGUCCAAUCAAGAAUCAACAUUAAAAAACACUUCAAACUCCAAAAACAACCAUUUUAACACAAUGAUUGUUAACACUCAAUUUUGUUCGGAUUGACUAAAUAAUAGGUUUUUUAUUUUAUUUUAUUUUAAUAAAGAAAAAAGAGAAGAGAAAAACAAAAAAAAUCCCAAAGUCAACUGAUCAAAUUGAAACAUGAAAAAAGGGAAAAAGACAAGGAGGAAAUUCGAGACUCUGAAAAGAAGAGAAGGGGGGCGUUUUUCUGGAGAGAGGAAUUCGUUUCAUAAAAAAUAAAAAGCUUAGAGGGUCAUUGGAGUGAACUCACGACCAGAUCCCAACCACUAGCUCUGGGCUUCCCGUGAUCUUCAGCAGAAAAAAAAACACAAUAUCAUAAACACAAGAGGAGACAACUAAGAAGGAGGAGACUACUGAAGAAGAGAGCAAAGGAGACCAAAAACAAAAGGAAAUGUUUUCUCUUGAAGCUGCAAAGCCAUUCUGAUUCGUACCUGUAUCACCUCAUUGCCCAAUCAUGGCUGUUAGUGUUUGUUGCCACUGUUCAUCGGAGUGGGCAUGCUUUUCGUCAACUCGAUGCCACGAGAAAGCUUGCAGUGGAGGAGCUAGAGAGUUUCCCUCUAACGCAUAAAUGGAGAAGAGGACCUUGACGCGACGACUGAUUUUAGUGGAGGUAGCGACAACGUUUUGGCUUGCGACGACUGGAUUUGCUCAAGCGGUGGCCGGUAUCGUUCAAACAGCCUCGUGCACGAAGAAGAGUAAGGAGGGAAAAUACCCGAUGCCACGGCUGGCGAACCUUGAUGCGGUGAGUAGCGGUGCUGGUGGCGCCUUGCGCCGCAACUCGUGGUGGCCGUCUUCGGUGGAGGCAGCGGCGGCGAGGAUGUAGGGUGGAGAGGCGAGAA
rnacentral:lncRNA from 1 species